GAUGAACGCUGGCGGCGUGCCUAAUACAUGCAAGUCGAGCGAACAGACGAGGAGCUUGCUCCUCUGACGUUAGCGGCGGACGGGUGAGUAACACGUGGAUAACCUACCUAUAAGACUGGGAUAACUUCGGGAAACCGGAGCUAAUACCGGAUAAUAUAUUGAACCGCAUGGUUCAAUAGUGAAAGACGGUUUUGCUGUCACUUAUAGAUGGAUCCGCGCCGCAUUAGCUAGUUGGUAAGGUAACGGCUUACCAAGGCAACGAUGCGUAGCCGACCUGAGAGGGUGAUCGGCCACACUGGAACUGAGACACGGUCCAGACUCCAACGGGAUGCAGCAGUAGGGAAUCUUCCGCAAUGGGCGAAAGCCUGACGGAGCAACGCCGCGUGAGUGAUGAAGGUCUUCGGAUCGUAAAACUCUGUUAUUAGGGAAGAACAAAUGUGUAAGUAACUAUGCACGUCUUGACGGUACCUAAUCAGAAAGCCACGGCUAACUACGU
rnacentral:rRNA from 1 species